GGCGGCUGCGCGGCUGGAUCAUAUAGUGCUUGAGGAGACACUCACGACUAAAUCAUGGAUCAGAAGUCCACUUCCCCCCAGAGACAUGCGGUGAAAAGCAGGUCGAAAUCUACAGAGGAAGUCCAGCAAGCGAAAAAGGCCUUCCACAUCCCUCAGAAAUCACUGCCUGGAGGGUCAGAGUUGGAAAAGGUGAAGGAGGGACCAGAAGAAAAUGUGACUCCAGCAUCAUCCACAGAAGAGCUAAAGUGAUGCUGCCAUUAAUCUGUGUUUCUCUCACGCACAUAAGGUUUUAAAAACAAGGUUUGGUAUAGUACAGUUAAAGCAUUAGCUCCUUUUUUUUGUUGGAUUUUCAGUACAGCUCAACACACGCACAAUUAUGAAACCUGUCGAUCUGCAGCACGUUCAGUCUUCAUGUCUGUACACUGACAGUAAAGAUAUAAACACCUCAUUAUAUUUUCUGCACAGCCAAUAAGUGCUGCUGUUAAUGUGUACAUUAUUAAUUAACAUAUUAAUGUUUUGGUUGUCUGACAUCAUAAAUCUACAGAGCCCCUAAAGGUUCAUUGUGAUGGAAAAAUAUGAGAUGAAAGAAUUCAAUGCUUUUCUUACUGAAUGCUUAUGCAUUUUGCAUCAAAGGUUAUUGGAAGCAAAGUUAGUGAGAAAACAGUUUCUUGAGGGAAUGUAAAAGUUUUACAGUAAAUGCACAUUUUCCCUCACAUCUAUUUUUGUUUUCAAGCCAUCUUGUCUUUUUCGGGGCUCAGUAGAAUCCCUCAGAAAUCAAAAUGAGUCAUUUUUUCAAUUUAGUUUAUUUUGUGACAGUUUCAGUGUAUUGUUUUCUAAGAACGCUUGAUGCUGGCUUGUUUCUACAGUCUGAUAUGUCUGUUGAAUGUUUUUCACUCCACACUAGCUCUCUCAUGUAUUUGGGCUCCUGUAAGUCAAAUAGUGUCAGCCGCUCAUUCGUUGACUUAUUUAUUGGCAUCAGCUGAACAGAGCUGACAUACAGUAUGAGUCAGCUGAAGAUGUUGUGUAAGUGUUUACAGUAUCCAUAAGUUAAACAGUUUGUGCUAAUAAAGUUUUAACCAC